rnacentral:rRNA from 1 species
AUACGUAGGACGCGAGCGUUAUCCGGAAUUACUGGGUGUAAAGGGAGCGUAGGCGGGGGUGUAAGUAGGGUGUGAAAGCUACUGGCUCAACCGGGUGAGGUCGUUUUAAACUACAUUUCUUGAGGGUUGUAUAGGGAAGCGGAAUUCCUGGAGUAGCGGUGAAAUCCGUAGAUAUCGGGAGGAACACCGGUGGCGAAAGCGGCUUACUUGGCUUUUACUGACGCUGAGGCUCGAAAGCGUGGGGAGCAAACAGGAAUAGAUUCCCUGGUAGUCCAUGCUGUAAACGAAGAUUCCUAAGUGUGGGGGGACUAACCCCUUCCGUGCCUCAGUUAACACAAUAAGUAAUCCACCCGGGGAGUACGGCCGCAAGGUUGAAACUCAAAGGAAUUGGCGGGG